rnacentral:rRNA from 1 species
UGGGGAAUCUUGCGCAAUGGGCGAAAGCCUGACGCAGCAACGCCGCGUGCGGGAUGAAGGCCCUCGGGUUGUAAACCGCUUUCAGUGGGGACGAACCAAGACGGUACCCACAGAAGAAGCCCCGGCCAACUACGUGCCAGCAGCCGCGGUAAU